GAAAUCUCAAUCAGUGUAACUUCGCCUGAAUGGUUGCCAAGUGCUCCACUAAAGUUGACCCAGAAAAAAUGGGUGGAUGAAAAGACAUUUGCCUUUUUUCAUUGUUCUCUGUAACUAAAGCUUAAACAGUUAGGGUUGGCGACCAGCAACUGGGGUCUUGGAUGAUGACAAGUGGGGUCUCGGUAAGGAGGAGGAAGGUGGCGUCGUGGCCGUCGUAGAGGAAGGGAAGCCCAAAGAAGUGACGGAGAUCGAUAACUUGAAGAAGGCAUCAGUAGAUUCGUUCUAUGGGACCGAUCGUCGGUUGACGGAGACUAGCGAAACGAGCAAAAAUCGUUGAGCUGAUCACACAGCUUGAAGCUAAGAAUUCGACUCCCACACUGACUGAGGCGUUAACUUUGCUUAAAGACAAAUGGAUUCUUGCUGCAGGUAUACAUUGUUUUCCUAUUUGUUCCCCUUAUUGUCAAGGGGUUCAUUGCAAUUGGCGAGAGUGGAGGAGGUAUCUCAGACAAUUGAUUCAUUAAUUGGUGAGGGCUCAUAUGGAAGAGUGUAUUUCGGUGUGGUGAGAAGUGGGCAGCUGCAGUCAUCAAGAAAUUAGAUUCUAGUAAGCAACCAGACCUGGAAUUUCUAGCACAGGUUUCCAUGGUAUCAAGACUUAAACAAGAAAAUGUUGUUGAGCUUGUUGGUUAUUGCAUUGAUGGCAG